GAGCAAAUUUGGCAACCCGUUUCAGGAGAAUAAAGCGCGUCCUCUGUUCCUUCUUUCCAGGCCUUUCCAUAAUCCCAUCGCAUCCCUGUGAGGAACAUAACCAGCCACGGGGUGGAGCUGGAACCAAGACCAAAGAUGACAUUCUGCUGCUUCAGGAGCCUCAUCUUCACUGGCCUGAAGGAAAACGGCACGCUGUAUGUUUGUUGGGGCUGCGAACCGGACUUUUGGAGAAGAGUGAGGGACGUUGCUCUUUUCAGUGGAGACGGAUCAGAACACAUUGUUCAUCGCCACGGCUGUGCAGUGAUGUCAUCUUCAUCACUGACUGCCAGAAAACAUUCGCCUCACCACGCUCACACUGACUCCAAUCUGUCUUCUUGCUGCGAAACUUGGACAGGAUGUCCGUGUUUGUUUGUGUGAGCGUUCUGUAUGUACAGUGUACUUCCUAAAAAUCCCACUUCAUCCCCUUCCUUACUGGGAUUUGGGUGUGAAGGAGUGGGCAGCAUCUUUGGAAAGCUGGGUAAAGUUUUCUGAAAAGCCAUUUUAGAGUUGGGGCUGGUAGCACAAAAUGUGUGUAAGUGUGUCAGCAGCGCUGCUGUCGCAGUGUGUGUCCCGCUCUGCCAGGCCUGGCUCCCAGCUCAGCCAGAAGAACCAACCAGUAAUGAGAUCUCAUUUCUGGCUGGCCUUCCUGCAGCGAUGGCGUCAGCAGAUACUGAAAAAGACAAUUAGACACUUAUUAACCAAGAGAUGAACGAGCCGCAUGAAAACACUCUAAUCCGAGCGGCAAAAUGUAAAUAUUGUUCCAGCUGCUAAUUUCCUCCUCCUUUAUCCAGUUUUGGGAUAAAUUAAGUAGAUGAAGUGUUGUAUAAGUGCAGCGACAUUGUAUUUAUUGUUGUUUAUUUUAUUUCACAAACAUGGUUCAAGCAAAGAAGCAACAAUAAAGCAUAUUUUGCAUAUUGCUCAACAUUAAAACUGUCUGAAAAAAAUAAGAAACCACUAAAAUGAUCAGUUUCUCUGAUUUUACUUUUUAUAUUUAUAUGUUUGAGUAAAAUGAACAUUCUAUGUAUCUGAAACUCCAAGGAAAUUUUUGUAUUUAUUUGCAGAAAAUUAACAAAAAAGAUGCAGUGCAUUCAGACCUCAGAUAAACUUCAAUAGUAAUGUUUUAACUCAGGAAGAGUUCAAAUCCAUGUUUGGUGGAAUAACCAGGAUGUUGGGCUCUUCAUUUUGUCUAGAGUUACAUAAAUUUAGCAAUUUAUUGUAGUUUUUUUCUUAUUUGCACCAGUAAGACAUUUGUAGAUCUAUGUUUUUAUAGUCACACUCGGUAUGUUUUCUGUGUGCCCCAGUAGCCAAGCGAUGACAUUUUGUUGCCAAAUUUACUGUCGUGUUUUUGUGCAAUGACAAUAAAGAAAGUCUAUGAAAAUGUUUCACUUUCCACUGGAAAAUUUGACAUAUAUUUAAAAUGAGAUUCAUAAAUGUAUUUGAAUGUCAAUUUUAACAAAAUAUGUUGUGUAUAAUCUCUGAAAAGUAUACACAAACUGUUUUGCAAAAUAGUAGUGCUGUGCAAAAUGCUCAUUCAUUUAGUCACAGUCUCACGCCUCACUUU